UACGUAGGGUGCAAGCGUUGUCCGGAAUUAUUGGGCGUAAAGAGCUCGUAGGCGGUUUGUCGCGUCGAAUGUGAAAACCCGGGGCUCAACCCCGGGCCUGCAUUCGAUACGGGCAGACUAGAGUUCGGUAGGGGAGUCUGGAAUUCCUGGUGUAGCGGUGAAAUGCGCAGAUAUCAGGAGGAACACCGGUGGCGAAGGCGGGACUCUGGGCAAUUCCUGACGCUGAGGCGCGAAAGCGUGGGGAGUAAACGGG
rnacentral:rRNA from 1 species